rnacentral:rRNA from 1 species
AUACGGAGGGUCCGAGCGUUAUCCGGAAUCAUUGGGUUUAAAGGGUCCGUAGGCGGGAAUCUAAGUCAGUGGUGAAAUCUUGCAGCUCAACUGUAAAAUUGCCAUUGAUACUGGAUUUCUUGAAUUAGUGUGAAGUGGUUAGAAUUUGUAGUGUAGCGGCGAAAUGCAUAGAUAUUACACAGAAUACCAAUUGCGAAGGCAGAUCACUAACACUAUAUUGACGCUGAGGGACGAAAGCGUGGGGAGCGAACAGGAUUAGAAACCCUAGUAGUCC